rnacentral:lncRNA from 1 species
AAAAAUAAACUUAGAAGUUUCUCCACAAGAAAUAUUUUAUUUUAUGUAAAAAGUAUAAAAAAUUAUAAGAACAAAAUAGAAGUAACAAACACAUUUAUUUAUUAUUUAUUAGAGAGUAUUUAUUACAUCUUUCAUAUAGUAGAUAAACAAUAUAUGAUCACCACAUCUAUAAAUAUAUCAGCGUUUAAAGGGCACGACACUCUUCUGCCCGUUCAUCCGUUUUUUCUUUAAUGAACACGCGCGUCAAAAAU